rnacentral:rRNA from 1 species
GACGAACGCUGGCGGCGUGCCUAAUACAUGCAAGUCGAACGAGAGCGCCCGGUGCUUGCACUGGUCACUCUAGUGGCGAACGGGUGAGUAACACGUGGGUAACCUGCUCAUCAGAGGGGGAUAACAUCCGGAAACGGAUGCUAACACCGCAUAGGUCUUCGAGCCGCAUGGCUUGAAGGGGAAAAGAGGCGCUAGCUUCUGCUGACGGAUGGUCCCGCGGUGCUUUUGCUAGUUGGUCGGGUAAAGGCUCACCAAGGCCGCGAUGCAUAGCCGACCGGUGGGGGGGAUCGGCGGCAUUGGGACGGAGACGCGGCCCAUACGCCUGCGGGAGGCAGCAGUAGGGAAUCGUCCGCAAUGGACGCAAGUCUGACAGAGCAACGCCGCGUGAGUGAAGAAGGUGUUCGGAUCGUAAAACUCUGUUGUUAGAGAAGAACAAGUGCUAGAGUAACUGUUGGCGCCUUGACGGUAUCUAGCCAGAAAGCCACGGCUAACUACGUG